UGGGGAAUUUUCCGCAAUGGGCGAAAGCCUGACGGAGCAAUACCGCGUGAGGGAGGAAGGCUCUUGGGUUGUAAACCUCUUUUCUCAAGGAAGAAUACAAUGACGGUACUUGAGGAAUAGGCAUCGGCUAACUCCGUGCCAGCAGCCGCGGUAAUACGGAGGAUGCAAGCGUUAUCCGGAAUGAUUGGGCGUAAAGCGUCCGCAGGUGGUUAUGCAAGUCUGCUGUUAAAGAGUGGAGCUUAACUCCAUAAAGGCGGUGGAAACUGCGUGACUAGAGUGCGUUCGGGGCAGAGGGAAUUCCUGGUGUAGCGGUGAAAUGCGUAGAUAUCAGGAAGAACACCGGUGGCGAAAGCGCUCUGCUAGGCCGUAACUGACACUGAGGGACGAAAGCUAAAGGAGCGAAUGGGAUUAGAUACCCGCGUAGUCC
rnacentral:rRNA from 1 species